UGCGUCUGCGGUGGGCGAAGCACGGUUCCUUGAAAGGGCUUUGCAGACGGCCGGGUCGUGUUCAGUCUUGUACAUUAAGCUACGCUUAAUUGAAAGCUGUU
rnacentral:sRNA from 1 species